rnacentral:rRNA from 1 species
UACGUAGGGCGCAAGCGUUGUCCGGAAUUAUUGGGCGUAAAGAGCUCGUAGGCGGCUUGUCGCGUCGUCCGUGAAAACCUGCAGCUCAACUGCAGGCUUGCGGUCGAUACGGGCAGGCUGGAGUUCGGUAGGGGAGACUGGAAUUCCUGGUGUAGCGGUGAAAUGCGCAGAUAUCAGGAGGAACACCGGUGGCGAAGGCGGGUCUCUGGGCCGACACUGACGCUGAAGCGCGAAAGCCAGGGGAGCGAACGGG